rnacentral:sRNA from 1 species
GGGCAGGGAGCCCGCCAGAGUGCGGGGUCGCGGUGCGGACCUCGAGCACGAGCCCUAAAGACGCUCAGCACUCGUCGCUUCUCCUAGCAGACCCUGCCCGGCCUGGCGAUGGAGUUUCCGGACCUCGGCGCUCACUGUUCGGAGCCGAGCUGUCAGCGCUUGGAUUUUCUGCCGCUUAAGUGUGAUGCCUGCUCAGGCAUCUUCUGCGCAGACCAUGUGGCCUACGCCCAGCAUCACUGUGGAUCUGCUUACCAAAAGGUGAGGGGGCGAUCCUCAGGGUGAAAGCAGGCAGAUGGAGAAUGCGUGCAGAAUCCCCCAAAUCUGUGUCUCACGUUUCUUCUCCCUUUUGUCUUUCUGAGGCUGUCAGUGCUGGGAAACACUGUUUUUUUGCGUGUUUGUGGUGGGUCAUAUCCAAGUUCUUUCAAGACCAGAGAUUUGUUGGACUGGAGUGGGCCACAGACUGACCCUUGCUCCUUGACUACAGGAUAUCCAGGUACCUGUGUGCCCUCUCUGUAAUGUGCCUGUGCCUGUGGCCAGAGGGGAGCCCCCUGACCGUGCUGUGGGAGAGCACAUUGACAGAGACUGUCGCUCUGAUCCAGCACAGCAAAAACGUAAGGUAAACAUUGUAGGGGUCAGCCACAACCCAGCUGGGACUAUGGAUGCCUGGAAACCCAAACAGCUAGUCAGAGUCUCAGCAGAGACAACCUUCUCACUUCACCUCAGAUCUUCACCAAUAAGUGUGAGCGCGCUGGCUGCCGGCAGCGAGAAAUGAUGAAACUGACCUGUGAACGCUGUAGCCGAAACUUCUGCAUCAAGCACCGGCAUCCACUGGACCAUGAUUGCUCUGGGGAGGGG